rnacentral:rRNA from 1 species
AUUGAACGCUGGCGGCAUGCCUUACACAUGCAAGUCGAACGGCAGCACGGGAGCAAUCCUGGUGGCGAGUGGCGAACGGGUGAGUAAUAUAUCGGAACGUGCCCAGUCGUGGGGAUAACGUAGCGAAAGUUACGCUAAUACCGCAUACGAUCUAAGGAUGAAAGCGGGGGGAUCGCAAGACCUCGCGCGAUUGGAGCGGCCGAUAUCAGAUUAGGUAGUUGGUGAGGUAAAGGCUCACCAAGCCAACGAUCUGUAGCUGGUCUGAGAGGACGACCAGCCACACUGGGACUGAGACACGGCCCAGACUCCUACGGGAGGCAGCAGUGGGGAAUUUUGGACAAUGGGCGCAAGCCUGAUCCAGCAAUGCCGCGUGCAGGAUGAAGGCCUUC